rnacentral:rRNA from 1 species
UGAACGCUGGCGGCAGGCCUAACACAUGCAAGUCGAACGGCAGCACAGAAGAGCUUGCUCUUUGGGUGGCGAGUGGCGGACGGGUGAGUAAUGUCUGGGAAACUGCCCGAUGGAGGGGGAUAACUACUGGAAACGGUAGCUAAUACCGCAUAACGUCGCAAGACCAAAGUGGGGGACCUUCGGGCCUCACACCAUCGGAUGUGCCCAGAUGGGAUUAGCUAGUAGGUGGGGUAACGGCUCACCUAGGCGACGAUCCCUAGCUGGUCUGAGAGGAUGACCAGCCACACUGGAACUGAGACACGGUCCAGACUCCUACGGGAGGCAGCAGUGGGGAAUAUUGCACAAUGGGCGCAAGCCUGAUGCAGCCAUGCCGCGUGUAUGAAGAAGGCCUUCGGGUUGUAAAGUACUUUCAGCGGGGAGGAAGGCGAUGCGGUUAAAUAACCGGGUCGAUUGACGUUACCCGCAGAAGAAGCACCGGCUAACUCCGUGCCAGCAGCCGCGGUAAUACGGAGGGUGCAAGCGUUAAUCGGAAUUACUGGGCGUAAAGCGCACGCAGGCGGUCUGUCAAGUCGGAUGUGAAAUCCCCGGGCUUAACCUGGGAACUG